CUCAGAAAAGAAGUUUAGGGCUUCUCUGUAAGUGGUCUUCAAUUAAAGCCUGCAAUGAUGAAACUCACUGAGACUGACGGAGGAAAUAAAAGGAGAGAAACCACUGAAAUGCAUCUUCGGAAGCAGAUUAUUAAAUGUCCCGCAGACAUCGGUGCGACUGACAGCCACCAGAGCUUAGUGAA